AGUUCGGCUCACUACAAGGAGGGCAGCAGCAGAUCCAAUCUCACCUCUCCAGCUUCUGGGAAGAAGACACUACUCUCUCAGGUUAGUUCCAUGACUUGACUAAAUGGGGGCUUGGCUAUCUUGACAGAGUCUCAUUCCAGCCCUGUUCACAUGCUCGGUGGUUGUGGAAAUACAGACUCCAAGUCAUUCAACACUUUUAGCACCUUCCUGAGACCAUUUACUCUCUAAUUUUGCUUUAUGGGUACAAAUGCAGAAAAUGGAGUCUACCUGCUUCCACCUGAGAGCUAAAGAACCUUCUCUUUGAUCAAGCUGAGUUCCAGAGUUCCAAGUUUCCCAGGAUUCAGAGAUCCCUGGCCCAGCUGUGAUAUGCAGUCUCAAAACACAAAACAUCUGGAGAGAUGAUAUGAACAGUUCAUCUUUCCCUAUUUAUAUUUGAAGGCUAAGGCAAUGUUUAUGGAAUAAAGAAUUUGUUUAAAUGAAUGUCUGAACAUUAUGAAUUCCUUGUUAUACUUUAUCUGGCUUCACAAUUGAUGUAGUGAACCAAGAUCUCUCUAUACAUAUACUCACAUGCAUACACAUACACAUAGGCUUAUAGUCAUAAAGCUAUAUAGUCAUAUAUACAUGUAUCUAUAUAUCAAAAAAGAGAUUGUUAUUUUUCUUUAUGUACCUAGGGAAAUCCCUGAACCUAUUAAGGCCACUAUAUUCAUUUCUCUAAAGUCUAAAAGCAGACUGGAAGGAUGGAAUAUGAGUAUAACACGAAAGUAAUAUUUUUCACAAAGUCAUGGCUAUUAAGAACCUUAUAGUCUUUGAGUGGAGUGUAUAAUUUGAAAUUAAAGUUUCAUAACUGAGUAUCCUUCUUUUUAGAAGAAAAAUGUUCUCAUAAAUCUGUUACCCAAAAUGCUUUUGAAAGAAAAUUUACCAUUUUCUUCAACUUUAAAAUCAUACUUGCAAGGGAAGCUCUGUGCAGAGAUGUUUGGCAUAAAUAUGAAUGACAAUAUAUAAAAACUAUUACCACACUACUAAAAAAUGUUGGGCAGCUUUGACCUGGUUAUUUGAUUGAACUUUCUGAAUCUGAUUUGUCAACUGAAGACAAGUAAAAGUUUUUUUACAAAUUCUAUCCUUAGCCUCUCAAUUAAUCUCAAAUAUUUGUUCAGAGAAAUAAUUGAAAAUUCUGACUGUAUCCUGACUGAAAUGUGGAUCACUGGGGGCCUCAAAGCUUCAGUGUGUUUAGUUCCCUAUGGUUUUGAGGCACAUGCCCUAUGUGAACCUUUUGAAGGACAGAAAAAUUCAUAACUGACUAGCAAUUGGUUAACUUUAGUUAAAAAGUGAAACACCUACUCUAGUGGUGCAAAAGAUGUCUGCAAAGGGCAAAAUCUUCAGCUUUGAAAGGCAUUCAGCAAUGUCAAUAGACUAGCACUUGAGAGUCACCUAAAAUUUAUUUGUAUUACUUUUCACCCAAUUUUAAAGAAGAAUAUUUCUAAGAUAAAAGCUUAAAACUUUUUAAUUAAAAAAAAAAAACUAAACUCAGUACUCCUAAGCCUUCAUAGAUAUAUACUUCAGUAUCUUGCAUGACAUUGAAAGCUCUAAUAACCAAAUUCUUUCCUGACUCCUAAUUAUGUGUC
rnacentral:lncRNA from 1 species